UACAGGGAGAAGGAUGUGGAUGACUCUGGUCAAAUGAGCUCAGCUGAGAUGCGUAUCGCUGUGAACGAUGCUGGUUUUUCUCUACACCAGAUCAUUGUUGCCCGCUACAGUGAAUCUGGCCUGACUGGACUUUGACAACUUUGUGGGCUGCCUGAUUCGCCUAGAGACAUUGUUCAAUACCUUCAAAACUCUGGAUAAGGAUGAGUCUGGAGAGGUGGAGCUGACUAUGCUGGAGGUA